AGAGUUUGAUCCUGGCUCAGAACGAACGCUGGCGGCGUGCCUAACACAUGCAAGUCGAGCGUGAAAGUCCCUUCGGGGGCGAGUAAAGCGGCAGACGGGUGAGUAAUACAUAGGUAAUCUACCUUCGAGAUUGGGAUAACCCUGCGAAAGUGGGGCUAAUACCGGAUAAGACCACACGGCUCAAGUCGCGUGGUAGAAGGUGGCUUAUUUUUUAAAUGAGCUAUCACUUGAGGAUGAGCCUAUGGCCUAUCAGCUUGUUGGUGAGGUAAGAGCUCACCAAGGCUAUGACGGGUAGCUGGUCUGAGAGGACGACCAGCCACACUGGGACCGAGACACGGCCCAGACUCCUACGGGAGGCAGCAGUGGGGAAUAUUGGGCAAUGGGCGAAAGCCUGACCCAGCGACGCCGCGUGGGCGAUGAAGGCCUUCGGGUUGUAAAGCCCUGUCAUGUGGAAAGAACAGUUCCGUGGUGAAUAUCCACGGGAUUUGACGGUACCACAGGAGGAAGCACCGGCUAACUCCGUGCCAGCAGCCGCGGUAAUACGGAGGGUGCAAGCGUUGUUCGGAAUUAUUGGGCGUAAAGGGCGCGUAGGCGGUUGUGAAAGUCAGAUGUGAAAUACUUCGGCUCAACUGAAGAACUGCAUCUGAAACUUCAUAACUCGAGUACAGGAGAGGGAAACGGAAUUCCCGGUGUAGAGGUGAAAUUCGUAGAUAUCGGGAGGAACACCAGUGGCGAAGGCGGUUUCCUGGCCUGAUACUGACGCUGAGGCGCGAAAGCGUGGGGAGCAAACAGGAUUAGAUACCCUGGUAGUCCACGCUGUAAACGGUGAA
rnacentral:rRNA from 1 species